UUAAGCGACUAAGCGUACACGGUGGAUGCCCUGGCAGUCAGAGGCGAUGAAGGACGUGCUAAUCUGCGAUAAGCGUCGGUAAGGUGAUAUGAACCGUUAUAACCGGCGAUUUCCGAAUGGGGAAACCCAGUGUGAUUCGUCACACUAUCAUUAACUGAAUCCAUAGGUUAAUGAGGCGAACCGGGGGAACUGAAACAUCUAAGUACCCCGAGGAAAAGAAAUCAACCGAGAUUCCCCCAGUAGCGGCGAGCGAACGGGGAGCAGCCCAGAGCCUGAAUCAGUGUGUGUGUUAGUGGAAGCGUCUGGAAAGGCGCGCGAUACAGGGUGACAGCCCCGUACACAAAAAUGCACAUGCUGUGAGCUCGAUGAGUAGGGCGGGACACGUGGUAUCCUGUCUGAAUAUGGGGGGACCAUCCUCCAAGGCUAAAUACUCCUGACUGACCGAUAGUGAACCAGUACCGUGAGGGAAAGGCGAAAAGAACCCCGGCGAGGGGAGUGAAAAAGAACCUGAAACCGUGUACGUACAAGCAGUGGGAGCACGCUUAGGCGUGUGACUGCGUACCUUUUGUAUAAUGGGUCAGCGACUUAUAUUCUGUAGCAAGGUUAACCGAAUAGGGGAGCCGAAGGGAAACCGAGUCUUAACUGGGCGUUAAGUUGCAGGGUAUAGACCCGAAACCCGGUGAUCUAGCCAUGGGCAGGUUGAAGGUUGGGUAACACUAACUGGAGGACCGAACCGACUAAUGUUGAAAAAUUAGCGGAUGACUUGUGGCUGGGGGUGAAAGGCCAAUCAAACCGGGAGAUAGCUGGUUCUCCCCGAAAGCUAUUUAGGUAGCGCCUCGUGAAUUCAUCUCCGGGGGUAGAGCACUGUUUCGGCAAGGGGGUCAUCCCGACUUACCAACCCGAUGCAAACUGCGAAUACCGGAGAAUGUUAUCACGGGAGACACACGGCGGGUGCUAACGUCCGUCGUGAAGAGGGAAACAACCCAGACCGCCAGCUAAGGUCCCAAAGUCAUGGUUAAGUGGGAAACGAUGUGGGAAGGCCCAGACAGCCAGGAUGUUGGCUUAGAAGCAGCCAUCAUUUAAAGAAAGCGUAAUAGCUCACUGGUCGAGUCGGCCUGCGCGGAAGAUGUAACGGGGCUAAACCAUGCACCGAAGCUGCGGCAGCGACGCUUAUGCGUUGUUGGGUAGGGGAGCGUUCUGUAAGCCUGCGAAGGUGUGCUGUGAGGCAUGCUGGAGGUAUCAGAAGUGCGAAUGCUGACAUAAGUAACGAUAAAGCGGGUGAAAAGCCCGCUCGCCGGAAGACCAAGGGUUCCUGUCCAACGUUAAUCGGGGCAGGGUGAGUCGACCCCUAAGGCGAGGCCGAAAGGCGUAGUCGAUGGGAAACAGGUUAAUAUUCCUGUACUUGGUGUUACUGCGAAGGGGGGACGGAGAAGGCUAUGUUGGCCGGGCGACGGUUGUCCCGGUUUAAGCGUGUAGGCUGGUUUUCCAGGCAAAUCCGGAAAAUCAAGGCUGAGGCGUGAUGACGAGGCACUACGGUGCUGAAGCAACAAAUGCCCUGCUUCCAGGAAAAGCCUCUAAGCAUCAGGUAACAUCAAAUCGUACCCCAAACCGACACAGGUGGUCAGGUAGAGAAUACCAAGGCGCUUGAGAGAACUCGGGUGAAGGAACUAGGCAAAAUGGUGCCGUAACUUCGGGAGAAGGCACGCUGAUAUGUAGGUGAAGUCCCUCGCGGAUGGAGCUGAAAUCAGUCGAAGAUACCAGCUGGCUGCAACUGUUUAUUAAAAACACAGCACUGUGCAAACACGAAAGUGGACGUAUACGGUGUGACGCCUGCCCGGUGCCGGAAGGUUAAUUGAUGGGGUCAGCGCAAGCGAAGCUCUUGAUCGAAGCCCCGGUAAACGGCGGCCGUAACUAUAACGGUCCUAAGGUAGCGAAAUUCCUUGUCGGGUAAGUUCCGACCUGCACGAAUGGCGUAAUGAUGGCCAGGCUGUCUCCACCCGAGACUCAGUGAAAUUGAACUCGCUGUGAAGAUGCAGUGUACCCGCGGCAAGACGGAAAGACCCCGUGAACCUUUACUAUAGCUUGACACUGAACAUUGAGCCUUGAUGUGUAGGAUAGGUGGGAGGCUUUGAAGUGUGGACGCCAGUCUGCAUGGAGCCGACCUUGAAAUACCACCCUUUAAUGUUUGAUGUUCUAACGUUGACCCGUAAUCCGGGUUGCGGACAGUGUCUGGUGGGUAGUUUGACUGGGGCGGUCUCCUCCUAAAGAGUAACGGAGGAGCACGAAGGUUGGCUAAUCCUGGUCGGACAUCAGGAGGUUAGUGCAAUGGCAUAAGCCAGCUUGACUGCGAGCGUGACGGCGCGAGCAGGUGCGAAAGCAGGUCAUAGUGAUCCGGUGGUUCUGAAUGGAAGGGCCAUCGCUCAACGGAUAAAAGGUACUCCGGGGAUAACAGGCUGAUACCGCCCAAGAGUUCAUAUCGACGGCGGUGUUUGGCACCUCGAUGUCGGCUCAUCACAUCCUGGGGCUGAAGUAGGUCCCAAGGGUAUGGCUGUUCGCCAUUUAAAGUGGUACGCGAGCUGGGUUUAGAACGUCGUGAGACAGUUCGGUCCCUAUCUGCCGUGGGCGCUGGAGAACUGAGGGGGGCUGCUCCUAGUACGAGAGGACCGGAGUGGACGCAUCACUGGUGUUCGGGUUGUCAUGCCAAUGGCACUGCCCGGUAGCUAAAUGCGGAAGAGAUAAGUGCUGAAAGCAUCUAAGCACGAAACUUGCCCCGAGAUGAGUUCUCCCUGACUCCUUGAGAGUCCUGAAGGAACGUUGAAGACGACGACGUUGAUAGGCCGGAUGUGUAAGCGCAGCGAUGCGUUGAGCUAACCGGUACUAAUGAACCGUGAGGCUUAACCU
rnacentral:rRNA from 1 species